rnacentral:rRNA from 1 species
GAUGAACGCUGGCGGCGUGCCUAAUACAUGCAAGUCGAGCGAACAGACGAGGAGCUUGCUCCUCUGACGUUAGCGGCGGACGGGUGAGUAAAACGUGGAUAACCUACCUAUAAGACUGGGAUAACUUCGGGAAACCGGAACUAAUACCGGAUAAUAUAUUGAACCGCAUGGUUCAAUAGUGAAAGACGGUUUUGCUGUCACUUAUAGAUGGAUCCGCGCCGCAUUAGCUAGUUGGUAAGGUAACGGCUUACCAAGGCAACGAUGCGUAGCCGACCUGAGAGGGUGAUCGGCCACACUGGAACUGAGACACGGUCCAGACUCCUACGGGAGGCAGCAGUAGGGAAUCUUCCGCAAUGGGCGAAAGCCUGACGGAGCAACGCCGCGUGAGUGAUGAAGGUCUUCGGAUCGUAAAACUCUGUUAUUAGGGAAGAACAAAUGUGUAAGUAACUAUGCACGUCUUGACGGUACCUAAUCAGAAAGCCACGGCUAACUACGUG